rnacentral:rRNA from 1 species
GUCGAACGGUAACAGGAAGCAGCUUGCUGCUUCGCUGACGAGUGGCGGACGGCUGUGUAAUGUCUGGGGAUCUGCCUGAUGGAGGGGCAGAUAACUACUGGUAAACGGUAGCUAAUACCGCAUAACGUCGCAAGACCAAAGAGGGGGACCUUCGGGCCUCUUGCCAUCAGAUGAACCCAGAUGGGAUUAGCUAGUAGGUGGGGUAACGGCUCACCUAGGCGACGAUCCCUAGCUGGUCUGAGAGGAUGACCAGCCACACUGGAACUGAGACACGGUCCAGACUCCUACGGGAGGCAGCAGUGGGGAAUAUUGCACAAUGGGCGCAAGCCUGAUGCAGCCAUGCCGCGUGUAUGAAGAAGGCCUUCGGGUUGUAAAGUACUUUCAGCGGGGAGGAAGGGAGAGUGGAUAAUAACCACUUUCAUUGACGUUACCCGCAGAAGAAGCACCGGCUGGGUCCGUGCCAGCAGCCGCGGUAAUACGGAGGGUGCAAGCGUUAAUCGGAAUUACUGGGCGUAAAGCGCACGCAGGCGGUCUGUCAAGUCGGAUGUGAAAUCCCCGGGGCUCACCUGGGAACUGCAUCCCGAACUGGCAGGCUUGAGUCUUGUAGAGGGGGGUAGAAAUCCAGGUGUAGCGGUGAAAUGCGUAGAGAUUUGGAGGAAUACCGGUGGCGAAAGCGGGCCUCCUGGAAAAAGACCGACGCUCAGGUGCCAAAGCGUGGGGGGGACAACAGGAUUAGUUCCCCUGGUAGUCCACGCCGUAAACCAUGUCCAAUUGGAGGUUGUGGCCUUGAGGGCGGGGUUCCCGGACAAACCCCGUAAGGUCCACCGGCCGGGGAAGUACGGCCCCCAGGGUAAAA